AUACGGAGGGUGCAAGCGUUACUCGGAAUCACUGGGCGUAAAGCGCGCGCAGGCGGCUAUUUAAGUUGGAUGUGAAAGCCUACGGCUCAACCGUAGAACUGCAUCCAAAACUAGUUAGCUAGAGUGUGGGAGAGGAAGAUGGAAUUAGUUGUGUAGGGGUAAAAUCCGUAGAGAUAACUAGGAAUACCAAAAGCGAAGGCAAUCUUCUGGAACACUACUGACGCUGAGGCGCGAAAGCGUGGGGAGCAAACGGGAUUAGAAACCCCAGUAGUCC
rnacentral:rRNA from 1 species